AGAGAGAGACAUGCGCGCAUAUCAAUAAGCGGAGGAAAAGAAACUAACAAGGAUUCCCCUAGUAACGGCGAGUGAAGCGGGAAGAGCUCAAAUUUGAAAUCUUAAAGGGUUUCCCUUUACGAAUCGUAGUUUAAAGAAGUGUUUUCUGUUGAGGUUUUGGUAAAAGUUCUUUGGAAUAGGACAUCAUAGAGGGUGAGAAUCCCGUAUUUGACCUUUACUUUCAACUUUGUGAUACACUUUCAAAGAGUCGGAUUGUUUGGGAAUGCAGUCCAAAAUGGGUGGUAAAUUUCAUCUAAAACUAAAUAUUGGCGAGAGACCGAUAGCGAACAAGUACCGUGAGGGAAAGAUGAAAAGAACUUUGAAAAGAGAGUUAAACAGUACGUGAAAUUGUCAAAAGGGAAGCGUUUGACACCAGUGUUGUUUUUCUGAAAAUCAAUUAAAGAACUGUUUAUGCUAAGCUGUUUAGACUUUAUCAGCUAACUGUUUAGUUUUGAGCUUUUCUUUAAUGCACUUUUCAGUUAACAAGUCAACAUCAAUUUCUUUUGCUGUAAAAAAGCUUGAGGAAGGUGGCUUGAGAUUCGUCUUAAGUGUUUAUAGCCUCUUGCCUAUGCAGUCGGAGAGAUUGAGGUCUGCAGCGUAGAUCCUUCGGGGCUAAAUGCAUUUGUGCUAAGUUAUAGCAUUUUAUAGACAACUUGUUGACUAUGAUUUGUCUUGUAGCUUACUCGCUUAUGUUAUUUUACCUACGCUUAGGAUGUUGAGCGCAUGUCUCUCUCU
rnacentral:rRNA from 1 species